rnacentral:rRNA from 1 species
UACGUAGGGGGCUAGCGUUGUCCGGAUUUAUUGGGCGUAAAGAGCGUGUAGGCGGCCAGGUAGGUCUGCUGUGAAAACUCGAGGCUCAACCUCGAGACGUCGGCGGAAACCAUCUGGCUAGAGUCCGGAAGAGGAGAGUGGGAUUCCUGGUGUAGCGGUGAAAUGCGCAGAUAUCAGGAAGAACACCCGUGGCGAAGGCGGCUCUCUGGGACGGUACUGACGCUGAGACGCGAAAGCGUGGGGAGCGAACAGG